UGCAUUAGAGUUUGAUCCUGGCUCAGGAUGAACGCUAGCGGCAGGCCUAAUACAUGCAAGUCGAACGGUAAAUGUAGUAGCAAUACUAUAUGAGAGUGACGUACGGGUGCGUAACACGUAUGCAACCUACCCAAAACAGGAGUAUAGCUCGGGGAAACUCGAAUUAACACUUCAUAGUAUCAUUUGGUGGCAUCAUUGAAUGAUUAAAACUACGGUGGUUUUGGAUGGGCAUGCGUCUGAUUAGUUAGUUGGCGGGGUAACGGCCCACCAAGGCGAUGAUCAGUAGGGGAACUGAGAGGUUGAUCCCCCACACUGGCACUGAGAUACGGGCCAGACUCCUACGGGAGGCAGCAGUAGGGAAUAUUGGUCAAUGGAUGCAAGUCUGAACCAGCCAUGCCGCGUGCAGGAAGAAGGCCUUCUGGGUUGUAAACUGCUUUUGCCAGGGGAUAAAAUGGCCAUGCGUGGCUAAUUGAAGGUACCUGGUGAAUAAGCCACGGCUAACUACGUGCCAGCAGCCGCGGUAAUACGUAGGUGGCAAGCGUUGUCCGGAUUUAUUGGGUUUAAAGGGUGCGUAGGUGGACUAAUAAGUCAGUGGGGAAAGCCCCGGAACUCAACUUCGGGAACUGCCCUUGAUACUGUUAGUCUUGAGUACAGGUGAAGUGGGCGGAAUGUGUCCUGUACCGGGGAAAUGCUUAGAUAUGACACAAAACACCGAUUGCGUAGGCAGCUCCUUAACUGGUAAUGAAACUGAGGCGCGAAAGCGUGGGGAGCGAACCGGAUAUAAUCCCCGGGUAGGCCCCGCCCUAAACAAUGAUUG
rnacentral:rRNA from 1 species